AACACUCCGAACAUUUUUUUCAAAAAAAUAUGACUCAUAUGCUGUGAACCGCGUGUACCACGUUGAACCGCAUCGGCUUACCCCCCGUAUGACAGAUUUCCUUGGCCGCACUGCCUUUUUCAAUUUUGCUUUGUGCUGUUUUGCGCGCGUAUCGCAUCGAGGCGCGCAUCGUGUUUGUUUUUGUUUUCGCAUCAGCUGGACGGCGGAAUUUUUGUUUUUGUUGCAGAACUCCUUCGAUUAUUAUUCAAACAAAAUGGGAAUUCGCUGUCAUGUCCUUGACCACGCCCGUGCACCGGCCUCCCAGAUAAAUGGAGCGGGGUCAUUCGGUGCCCACUACCACCAAAACAAGUUGAAGGAACUUCAGUAGAGGAGAAAAUCGUGACGUCAGGAAUGAACUCAAAUCACUCAAAGUUCAUUUUGUGAGUGACUUUAACAAUUUGGCCUAGUUUGACAGCUACUUUGUCCCUACUUUUUCUGUGGGAGAGAAAAGGAGGCGAAUACUUUAUGAAAAUCAUACCUGUCAAAAUUCCUAGCCUCAAAAUUUUGUCGCGAUUUGCUUUUCUCCUCUGUUGGAAAAGCAAGAACUGGCGGAGAAGAAAUGCUCGAGUGAAGGCUUGAAAUGACCAGGCUGAAGAGUGCCGUUACCGUUCCUCAAGGACGUGUGCAAGAAGAAGGCUUCCCUACCAACGUAGACCCUGCGACCAAGAAGAACCGCAUCCGCGAGGGGAAGGCCCAACCUGGGGCUACCGCAGCCAAGUCGUCGACUUAUGUGUGGGUGUAUUUGUGUGUAUGUUACUGAUGUAAAUUUGUGGUUAAGUUUGAAUUGAAAAUAUAUAAAAUUUACAGCUUUU